rnacentral:rRNA from 1 species
CCCUUAGAUGUUCUGGGCCGCACGCGCGCUACACUGAUGCAUUCAACGAGUCUAAAACCUGCUCUGAUAGGGGUGGGUAAUCUUUUGAAUGUGCAUCGUGAUUGGGAUAGAUGAUUGCAAUUUUUCAUCUUCAACGAGGAAUGCCUAGUAAACGCAAGUCAUCAGCUUGCAUUGAUUACGUCCCUACCCUUUGUACACACCGCCCGUCGCUCCUACCGAUUGAAUGAUCCGAUGAAUAUCAUAGACUGAGAGUAUAAGCAGGUUCGCCUGUCUUUGCUUCUCGGGAAGUGAAGUAAAUCUUAUCAUUUAGAGGAAGGAGAAGUCGUAACA